GACGCUGAUGUGCGAAAGCGUGGGGAUCAAACAGGAUUAGAUACCCUGGUAGUCCACGCCGUAAACGAUGAGUGCUAAGUGUUAGGGGGUUUCCGCCCCUUAGUGCUGCAGCUAACGCAUUAAGCACUCCGCCUGGGGAGUACGACCGCAAGGUUGAAACUCAAAGGAAUUGACGGGGACCCGCACAAGCGGUGGAGCAUGUGGUUUAAUUUGAAGCAACGCGAAGAACCUUACCAAAUCUUGACAUCCUUUGACCCUUCUAGAGAUAGAAGUUUCCCCUUCGGGGGACAAAGUGACAGGUGGUGCAUGGUUGUCGUCAGCUCGUGUCGUGAGAUGUUGGGUUAAGUCCCGCAACGAGCGCAACCCUUAAGCUUAGUUGCCAUCAUUAAGUUGGGCACUCUAAGUUGACUGCCGGUGACAAACCGGAGGAAGGUGGGGAUGACGUCAAAUCAUCAUGCCCCUUAUGAUUUGGGCUACACACGUGCUACAAUGGACAAUACAAAGGGCAGCGAAACCGCGAGGUCAAGCAAAUCCCAUAAAGUUGUUCUCAGUUCGGAUUGUAGUCUGCAACUCGACUACAUGAAGCUGGAAUCGCUAGUAAUCGUAGAUCAGCAUGCUACGGUGAAUACGUUCCCGGGUCUUGUACACACCGCCCGUCACACCACGAGAGUUUGUAACACCCGAAGCCGGUGGAG
rnacentral:rRNA from 1 species